GCCAGCAUGGUAUAAUGGCUUGAGUGUUCAACUGCAACUCGAGAGACCAGGGUUCAAUUCCCAGCCUGGCC